GUUGUGGCCAGGUGGGCAGGUGCCCUCAGCACCAUAAACCUUGAUUUUUUUCCUUUGGGGCAGAUGUAAAUUUGAGGCAAAUGACACAAAGAAGCUGAAGAAUAGCAAAUGUCCAGGAGAAGGGAGUGCCCCCUUCCUUCCCAGGCCCCUGGCACCUGCUCCCUGUGGGUCCCCUGACGUGACACCUUCAGGUGCGUGCCCUUACAUGUGCGCACACAUGGCCCUGAACGGUCCUCAUCUCUCUUCCCGUGGCCUCGGCCUCGGCUGUCCACAUGUGUUCCAGAAAGCUCUGUGCAGUAAUAGAGGAGGGCCCCCCGCAACCUCAACCUCUGGUUCACCCAGCACAGCCUUUUUUUUGUCUGCCCUCUAUACUGGCGUUCUGUGUGAGAUUUCCUUUGUGAAGUUGUUUGAAGCUGCAGCCCCAGGCCUCAUAAAUGUAGAUAAGCAGAGUAUCAUCUGUUGAUGGCUGCUUGUGCUGUGCCCAGCACUCCGUUGGUGAAGUGAGGCUUCCUCACUGGAGCGCAGAGGGAGUCCCAGAGCUCCUCCUUCCUGAGGGCGUUGGGCUUAGCUUUGGCAUGGGAUUGUUUUGCUGCAUCGUUUUUCUUAGAUGGCUCAUCUGGGAUAUACCUGGUCAUUGGCUUUUUAAUUUUAACACUGCCAUUUCCUUUCAGUGUCGCGGCCAAGUAGCUUAGAGAGCAGUAGAAACACAUCCAGCAACAGCUCACCUCUUAACCUAAAAGGCUCCUCCGAGCAGCUCCAUGGCCGGUCUGAGAGCUUCAGCAGCGAAGACCUGAUCCCCAGCAGGGACCUG
rnacentral:lncRNA from 1 species